rnacentral:rRNA from 1 species
GUCCACGCCCUAAACGAUGUCAACUAGUUGUUGGGAGAGUAAAAUCUCUUAGUAACGCAGCUAACGCGUGAAGUUGACCGCCUGGGGAGUACGGUCGCAAGAUUAAAACUCAAAGGAAUUGACGGGGGCCCGCACAAGCGGUGGAUUAUGUGGAUUAAUUCGAUGCAACGCGAAAACCUUACCUGGCCUUGACAUGCCACUAACGAAGCAGAGAUGCAUUAGGUGCCCGAAAGGGAAAGUGGACACAGGUGCUGCAUGGCUGUCGU